GCUGGGCGCAGUGGCCCACGCCUGCAAUCCCAGCAGCUCGGGAGGCUGAGGCAGGAGGAUCGCGAGUUCAAAGCCAGCCUCAGCAAAGGCGAGGCGCUAAGCAACUCAGUGAGACCCUGUCCCUA
rnacentral:sRNA from 1 species